rnacentral:rRNA from 1 species
AUUGAACGCUGGCGGCAUGCUUUACACAUGCAAGUCGAACGGUAACAGGCCGCAAGGUGCUGACGAGUGGCGAACGGGUGAGUAAUGCAUCGGAACGUGCCCAGUCGUGGGGGAUAACUGCUCGAAAGAGCAGCUAAUACCGCAUACGAUCUAUGGAUGAAAGCGGGGGACCGUAAGGCCUCGCGCGAUUGGAGCGGCCGAUGUCAGAUUAGGUAGUUGGUGGGGUAAAGGCUCACCAAGCCAACGAUCUGUAGCUGGUCUGAGAGGACGACCAGCCACACUGGGACUGAGACACGGCCCAGACUCCUACGGGAGGCAGCAGUGGGGAAUUUUGGACAAUGGGGGCAACCCUGAUCCAGCAAUGCCGCGUGCAGGAAGAAGGCCUUCGGGUUGUAAACUGCUUUUGUACGGAACGAAACGGUCUGGGUUAAUACCCUGGGCUAAUGACGGUACCGUAAGAAUAAGCACCGGCUAACUACGUGCCAGCAGCCGCAGUAA